rnacentral:sRNA from 1 species
CAGCUGCGGCGUCCUUCCCUGGGCCAGCACAGUCAUGUGAUUGGCUGAUUGCUAAUCAGAGUCUUCAUACAAUCCCUCAUCGUCAGAAAGCUCAUCAAAUGACCGGAUAUCUAGCUGGUAACGCAAGAUACCACCAAUGCCACCGAAUCCUCUACAAAACUGAGAUCCCUCUUGAGAUUUAUUAGUGACAAACUCAAGCGAGCAACCAAACUUCUUGUAUUCAUUAGCAAACCAUUCCAGAAGAGACAUUUUUUCCUGAACUUCCAACUCAGCAUUACUAGCCGGAUCACGGAAAUUACUCUGGUCAGCUUCCUGCUCUUUGUUAAAAUGUUUGAUCACAGUUUCACCAGAUGCACUGUUCUUAAGCACAUAUCUGUUGGUUUCAAGGUUCUCCCACACUAUUAGAGUCUCAACAGCACCCAUCUCAAGAGCUUUAAGAGUGUCAUCAACCCCAAAGACAUAUUUCCCAGUAUCUUGACUGAUCUCUUCAAAAUACUUGCCAAUUAGCUUCUUCUCCUGUAUGAACUUGACAUUUGCUAGAAUCUCAGCUGACAAUUCAAUAGCUUGGUUGAAACCAUUCUCGCCACCAUAAGAAACAUCAACCACAUUAAGUAUCUUGGCUUGAAGUCGUUGAUCAAACAUGUCAGACUGACUCAAUUCUGUCUUAAAAUCAGCAGAACCAGCGAGGAUUAGGCCUGAAACAUUAGGCUGACUUGUAGCAGGAUUAAUGAAGAACUGAGUAGCAAGCUCAGCUGUUUUCCGGACAUAAUUAUGGCGUUUCUCCAUCCGAAGACGAGCAAAACGCAAAGCAGAUUGUCCUCCUCUACCAUGCUUCUUUGGGAGAUCAACAGUGAAUUUGUGAAGCACCUCACGUGUGUUGCCACUUAGUGUGCCAAAAAGAGUACCAUUACCAUCCAUAACAAUGAACCCAAACUUGUCAUCAGAUUCCAAGAGCUCAUUCAAAGCUUCAGUGUGGAACUUGUUAUCACAAAGAUACAGUGAUACAUUGAUAGGCUUGAAGGGUUCAAAAUCAAUGGUAACCUUCUUUUCCUUCCCAUCUUCAGUAACAAUGGUUCCAGUGUAGAGAACCAAUCCAUUUGGAGGAACUUUGUUAUAGAGCUUCAGCCUCUGCUGAGCUGAGGUAAUGGCAGCCAAAACAGACUGACGAUUGACUCUACUCUUGAUGUUUGAGGCGGUACCAUAUUCAUCACCCAACAUCUUAGCCACUCGCGCAAUCUGGUCACGUGGAGGCAUAAUAAGAGAGAUCAUGCUUGUGCCAUUUCCUCUAGCUGACUCCAGAGCCUUGAUUAGCUUCUUAAUCUUCCAGAUCUCAAUGUUCCUAUCAGUUUCAUGGCUGUCAGACAUCUUGACAGAGCUUGGAUGACUGGCUCACCUGUAC